rnacentral:tRNA from 1 species
UACCCGGUGGUGAAACGGUAUCACAACAGGUUUUGGUCCUGUCUUUCCAGGUUCGAAUCCUGGCCGGGUAGC